GAGGAAGGCUGAACAAGGACCUGCGACAUUUUCUCAAUCAGCGGUUCCAGAAGGGGUCUCCUGAUCAUGAGCUCCAGCAGACCAUAAGAGAUAACCUUUACCGCCAUGCUGUGCCUUGCACAACCCGAUCUCCCAGAGAAGGAGAAGUGCCUGGCGUGGACUAUAACUUUCUGACUGUGAAGGAGUUCUUGGACCUCGAGCAGAGCGGGACUCUUCUGGAAGUCGGCACCUAUGAAGGAAACUAUUAUGGGACACCCAAGCCUCCUAGCCAGCCAGUCAGUGGGAAAGUGAUCACGACGGAUGCCUUGCACAGCCUUCAGUCUGGCUCUAAGCAGUCGACCCCGAAGCGAACCAAGUCCUACAAUGAUAUGCAAAAUGCUGGCAUAGUCCAUGCGGAGAACGAGGAGGAGGAUGACGUUCCUGAAAUGAACAGCAGCUUUACAGCAGCCGGUUCUGGUGAACAAGACGAGCACACUCUCCAAGAAACAGCAUUACCACCUGUGAAUAGUAGCAUCAUUGCUGCUCCCAUCACGGACCCUUCUCAGAAGUUCCCUCAAUACCUACCUCUUUCUGCAGAGGAUAAUUUAGGUCCUCUACCUGAAAACUGGGAGAUGGCCUAUACCGAAAAUGGAGAAGUCUAUUUUAUAGAUCAUAACACGAAAACAACAUCUUGGUUAGACCCUCGGUGCCUGAACAAGCAGCAGAAGCCUCUGGAAGAGUGUGAAGAUGAUGGUAAGGGGCCAGGCAGGUCUUGGGUUAAGUGAAUUGGGGGCACUGUUCACAUGUGCAAAUUUUAAAGAGUCGUAGCUAGGUCAGUCGGGUCUUAUGUUGAGUUUUUAAAAGGUAAUCCAAUUUCUGCUAAAUGGACUGUGGUUUACAAAAGCAGGAGGAAAGUCAGAAUUGUUUCAAGAGAAGAAUUUGUUUACACAUAAAGACAGAUGCUUACUAAUAUCUCCAUUAGAAGCAGAACAGUCAGAAACUGUUCAAAUGAAGAUAUGUCCUCUGUCUUCAGGAACUUAGAGUAAAUUCUAGAAAGUCUCUAGGAAUAAAGAAACCAAAGAUGCUCUGGUCACUCACACAUUCUAAGGUUUAACCCUAUCUUAUAAAAGUCUUAGGGGAAAAGUUGGGAGUUUUUCUUGAACUCUACAUAUUUCACAUACUUCCCUAGUCUUGGAGGUAGGGGAAACAGAUCUAGACAUGUUUGAGAAUCUCUGUGUAACUUACAGUAUACCCACAAUGUGUAGUAAGUGUAUUCUUUUGAGACAGAGGUUGAGGUGUUAUCUAGAGCACCACUCUCCCUGUUAAUCUUGGAAAUGAACUAACUGGCUGUAAGAGCUUUUGUUGAAAAAGUUCAUUUCAAGGCUUUGGGUUUUCUAAUUACUUCUCCAAAAUGAAAAAAAAAAAAAAAAAA
rnacentral:sRNA from 1 species